CAGUCGCCGCGGUAAUACGUAGGUGGCAAGCGUUGUCCGGAAUUAUUGGGCGUAAAGGGCUCGCAGGCGGACUGAUAAGUCAGGGGUGAAAUCCCAAGGCUCAACCUUGGAACUGCCUUUGAUACUGUUUGUCUUGAGUUCGAGAGAGGUAAGUGGAACUGCGAGUGUAGAGGUGAAAUUCGUAGAUAUUCGCAAGAACACCAGUGGCGAAGGCGGCUUACUGGCUCGAAACUGACGCUGAGGCGCGAAAGCUAGGGGAGCGAACAGGAUUAGAUACCCCAGUAGUCCCUGUCUCUUAUAC
rnacentral:rRNA from 1 species